GUACUUUUUGGCAGCACAUAUACUAAAAUUGUAGAGAUUAGCAUGGCCUCUCCUCAUGGGUGACCCACAAAUUCAUGAAGCGUUCCAUAUUUUU
ensembl:snRNA U6 U6 spliceosomal RNA